CAUUUCAGUGUAGUAAAACAGAAGAUGAGCGUCGUUGCAACAAAGUAAUGAAAAUAAUAGUGUAUGAAAGCAUCAUUCUGUGACAUUGGGACACGCCCAAGCACCAUGUACAAAAUGAAAACAGACGCACAUAUAAAAUCCCAUGCAUUGAAAUAGAGAAACAUUCUUCUACUACAGGUUUCGAGUAAUCAAAUAACAGCUCUAGCAAAGGGAAGGAACAAAAAUCCCAGAGUUCGGUCUUUCGCUCCACAGCGUGCUUUUUCUCAUCUUCCGUAAAGCGCAAGGCUGAGUGAUAUAUAGCAUUUGUUGUUGGUGCACCG
rnacentral:lncRNA from 1 species